AACCAGUUCUUUAAGUGGUUCCCCAAGCACGCCAAAGGUGCUUUUCUAGAAAGAAAAGGAAUCGAUGAAUGGCCACAUGACCGGGAUGCCUUCCCUCCCUCCCCCUUCCCCAUGGAAAAGAAAGGAACAGCAUUGCAAAGGUAGAGCCCGGAUUAUAAAUACUGACUCUUUGAUGGUUAUUGCAAUGUCUGCCAGCUUCCAGUCACCAAGAAAAAGGAAAGGAGCUGCAUUUUUAAAAAUAUAAAGCCUUCUCUCGGCUGGCCUAGUUCUUCCCUUUGUGUGAGGAAAUAUCUUGUAUCAUCUUUAUAAGGGGAACCCUCUAAAUCUGACCGAAUGAUGCAGAAAAGCCAAAAAAAAAAAAAAAUUCAUGGGAAGAUUCUUACCUGUAAAAUUCCUCCCAUCCUCUCUUCUUAAUUUACUCUGUCCUUCUCCCCAUUUCCCCCCCCAAUGGAAGGAUAAAUCACUGCUCCUUCCAACUGUUUUAUCCUCAAGGAUCUUUCUCUCCACUCUCCUCCCUCCGCACACUUGGUUGUUUAUCUGACCCCUCCGGGUUUGCGGGGGCCUCUCCCCCGGCUUUGUCUCCUCUAGCCCCCCACCCCCUCCUCGGCCAAGGCCUGCCAGCAGUGCUCGCUGGGCCUAGGAGUUGGUCCCGGCUCUGCCUCCUGUUCUGUUGUGUGCACUGGAAUAUUGAUUUUUCAGUGUGUGCGCGCCGGCUCUGUAAAAAUCAAUAUUUCAGUAGCUCGAGCACAGCCCAGGGCAGUGUAACGGAGCCGGCCUGCUGAUGUAACGUGCGGGGUCCACCCUCGGCGAUUGAGGUUCAAGAGAGUAGGAUGUGGACAUCUUUACAGCUGUUAUUCUAGCUACCAUGUUGGGUAAAAAUCAAGAAGUCAGCAGGGUUGUGUUCCUUUCUGAAGACUCUACAGGACACUGUCUUCUCACCUUUUCCAGCUUUCCAGCUUCUGCAGGCCGCCUGCAUUCCUUGGCUCAUGCUCCCUUCCUUCAACUUCAAAGCCAGCAGUGCUGCAACUAGACUCCAGUUUGCUGGCUCAUGUAAGCUUCCCUGCACGAACAUCUACAAUGCAAAAACAAAAAGCCUGAGCAACAGAGUCCUUCCAAUGAUGUUUAGAAUGACAUGGAAAUUGCCACGAGAUGGAGAAUAAUCAGUCCUCAGAAGAAAAUAGAAGAACAGCUCUUACAGCUGAGUGGAAGGAUGGCGUAUAUAACGUUUGCUUCACUUCUCAUUAUCUCUUCGAGUGACGCCAUCUAACAGUGCGAUUCAGUAUUACCAAGGAGGCGGCGUUUCACAG